rnacentral:rRNA from 1 species
UACGGAGGGGGCUAGCGUUGUUCGGAAUUACUGGGCGUAAAGCGCACGUAGGCGGCUUUGCAAGUUAGAGGUGAAAGCCCGGGGCUCAACUCCGGAAUUGCCUUUAAAACUGCAUCGCUAGAAUUGUGGAGAGGUAAGUGGAAUUCCGAGUGUAGAGGUGAAAUUCGUAGAUAUUCGGAAGAACACCAGUGGCGAAGGCGACUAACUGGACAUGUAUUGACGCUGAGGUGCGAAAGCGUGGGAAGCAAACAGG